UCAGAAUUCUAUGAUAGCAAGGACAAGACCUAUGACUUGAAUUUCAAGGAAGCGAGUUGCCUACUGGACUUAUUACUGGCAUGGCACAAGGCAGCACACUGAAUAGUCUUUUAAGUAACAAAGUAGGGCUAGAAGUGAUGCUGCCACUCAGUUCAGUAAAGCUGCGCACAAGGGUAUUGUUGCAUUGACGGUCGAUGACCAAGCUGUUUCAAGUAUGGAAAAGCAACAGAUGAGUGCAGUUUCACAGACCAUAACUAUACCAAAUGGAAUCGCAGC